rnacentral:tRNA from 1 species
GCUGGGGUCGCAUAACCUGGUAGUGCGCUAGCCUGCUAAGCUAGUUUCCUUCGGGAUUUCCGAGUUCAAAUCUCGGCUCCAGCG